CUGAUGGAGGGAGAAGGAUGGAGUCACAUCUCUCACAUUUUCCAGGAGAAAAGGAGGGAACAAUCCCAAACUCCUCUCCAAAUCUCAGAGAGCUCAGAAGGUUGAAAUGACCUGAUGAAAACCCACAGCUCACCCAACAAAAUCAGACUCCUCUCAAAUCCCUCUCUGUGCUCAGACACUUGAGGACAAGCUGUGGCCAUUGUGCAAGUGCAGAGCACAAUCCAAAUGGAAAUGGAAACAAUUAAAUAUACAUGACAAGCAGCCCAGCUGUAUGUCUGAACCCAGACUCUUCCAGCAGGAAUUUCCCUUGGAAAUCAGCUCCCAGAUGCCUGAAGAUCAGCAAAGCUGGUCCAUGUACAGUUUGUCCCAUUCUGACCCCUCCUAAGAAGAUGGAAGGAAACCUCUCAGGUUUGAAAAUGAAAUAAACUCAUAUUUAAAAAUAUCCCUGAAUUCACUGCAUUUAGAAGCUUUAUUGAGAGAUGCUGCAAAACUCUUCCCAAAAAUGGCUGGAAAGAGCAAGAGGGUGGGUGCAGUAGGAGACCACUGGACCAUUUAUGCUCAAACCAGUUGCCCCAGUGGCUCUUAGGGCACCAAGCCCUGGAUAUGGAGCAAAUUAAGCACAGCAGUUUCCAGCAGAGACACCUGUGAGUGACCCCCAACUUCCUGGAGCAGCAUUCCUGGA